GAGUUUGAUCCUGGCUCAGGAUGAACGCUAGCGGCAGGCUUAACACAUGCAAGUCGAGGGGUAUAGUUCUUCGGAACUAGAGACCGGCGCACGGGUGCGUAACGCGUAUGCAAUCUACCUUUCACAGAGGGAUAGCCCAGAGAAAUUUGGAUUAAUACCUCAUAGUAUAAUUGAAUGGCAUCAUUUAAUUAUUAAAGUCACAACGGUGAAAGAUGAGCAUGCGUCCCAUUAGCUUGUUGGUAAGGUAACGGCUUACCAAGGCGACGAUGGGUAGGGGUCCUGAGAGGGAGAUCCCCCUCACUGGUACUGAGACACGGACCAGACUCCUACGGGAGGCAGCAGUGAGGAAUAUUGGUCAAUGGGCGCAAGCCUGAACCAGCCAUGCCGCGUGCAGGAUGACGGUCCUAUGGAUUGUAAACUGCUUUUGUACAGGAAGAAACACUGGUUCGUGAACCAGCUUGACGGUACUGUAAGAAUAAGGAUCGGCUAACUCCGUGCCAGCAGCCGCGGUAAUACGGAGGAUCCAAGCGUUAUCCGGAAUCAUUGGGUUUAAAGGGUCCGUAGGCGGUCAGAUAAGUCAGUGGUGAAAGCCCAUCGCUC
rnacentral:rRNA from 1 species